UUUAGAAAUUUCUAGUCAGGAAUGUUCUUAAAUUUCAUGUAAAUCUUUAACUGUACCUAGUGUCAUGUAUACAGUAGAUGUUUAAUGAAUGAUUGUUGAAUGCUUGUGCUCCUUUAUGUUAGGACAGACACCGUUCUAUCAGCAGUCCCAUAAUCCAGAAGAUCUGGUGCCUCCUCUUUAGGGGAUUACAGAUUAACAGACUACCUGUGGGUCCAGUAGACAAGACAGAGGACACUCCUGUGAAUCAGGAAGUGGUCAGUACCAGGAGAAUUUAUUGUGGAAUUGAAGGAGGAAGAUACUACUCUAUCUUUUCAUUGUGCAUUCUCAGCUCUUAAUGCCUGGCACAGGAAGACAGAUGCCCAGCUGCAAACACUCUAUGGCCCAAGGAGGCAACUGCAAAUCCAAAUAUAAGCUGCUUGGGAGAAAAAAAGGCAACAUCAAGGACUCCCCAGCCAGCAAGAAACUAGAAGCCUCAGUCUCACAGCCACCAGGAACUGAGUUCUGACAACAGCAAAGUAGCCUGAAAGACAGACCCAAGUUCCAGAAAGGAACACAGGCCAGCCAAUACCACUGAGACCCCAGCUGGAGCAACUAGUUCAGCUGUUCCCAGAUAUUUGAUCUGCAGAAACCAUGAGAGAAUAAAUGGUGCUCAUUCAAGCCA
rnacentral:lncRNA from 13 species